rnacentral:rRNA from 1 species
CAGUAGCCGCGGUAAUACGUAGGUGGCGAGCGUUGUCCGGAAUUAUUGGGCGUAAAGCGCGCGCAGGUGGUUUAAUAAGUCUGAUGUGAAAGCCCACGGCUCAACCGUGGAGGGUCAUUGGAAACUGUUAAACUUGAGUGCAGGAGAGAAAAGUGGAAUUCCUAGUGUAGCGGUGAAAUGCGUAGAGAUUAGGAGGAACACCAGUGGCGAAGGCGGCUUUUUGGCCUGUAACUGACACUGAGGCGCGAAAGCCAGGGGAGCGAACGGGAUUAGAUACCCGUGUAGUCCCUGUCUCUUAUAC